rnacentral:rRNA from 1 species
UUNUGAACUGGGUGACUAGAGUGUGUCAGAGGGAGGUAGAAUUCCACGUGUAGCAGUGAAAUGCGUAGAGAUGUGGAGGAAUACCGAUGGCGAAGGCAGCCUCCUGGGAUAACACUGACGUUCAUGCUCGAAAGCGUGGGUAGCAAACAGGAUUAGAUACCCUGGUAGUCCACGCCCUAAACGAUGUCAAUUAGCUGUUGGGCAACUUGAUUGCUUAGUAGCGUAGCUAACGCGUGAAAUUGACCGCCUGGGGAGUACGGUCGCAAGAUUAAAACUCAAAGGAAUUGACGGGGACCCGCACAAGCGGUGGAUGAUGUGGAUUAAUUCGAUGCAACGCGAAGAACCUUACCUGGUCUUGACAUGUACGGAAUCCUCCAGAGACGGAGGAGUGCCUUCGGGAGCCGUAACACAGGUGCUGCAUGGCUGUCGUCAGCUCGUGUCGUGAGAUGUUGGGUUAAGUCCCGCAACGAGCGCAACCCUUGUCAUUAGUUGCCAUCAUUUAGUUGGGCACUCUAAUGAGACUGCCGGUGACAAGCCGGAGGAAGGUGGGGAUGACGUCAAGUCCUCAUGGCCCUUAUGACCAGGGCUUCACACGUCAUACAAUGGUCGGUACAGAGGGUAGCCAAGCCGCGAGGUGGAGCCAAUCUCACAAAACCGAUCGUAGUCCGGAUUGCACUCUGCAACUCGAGUGCAUGAAGUCGGAAUCGCUAGUAAUCGCAGGUCAGCAUACUGCGGUGAAUACGUUCCCGGGUCUUGUACACACCGCCCGUCACACCAUGGGAGUGGGGGAUACCAGAAGUAGGUAGGGUAACCGCAAGGAGCCCGCNUA